GACGAACGCUGGCGGCGUGGAUUAGGCAUGCAAGUCGAACGGUAUCAUCCUUUCGGGGGUGAGAGAGUGGCGAACUGGUGAGUAACACGUAGGUUAUCUACCCUCAAGACGGGGACAACCCAGGGAAACUUGGGCUAAUACCGGAUGUGAGCAACUUUUAGUUGUUUGAAAGGUGGCGUAAAGCUGUCGCUUGGGGAUGAGCCUGCGUCCUAUUAGUUAGUUGGUGAGGUAACGGCUCACCUAGGCAAUGAUAGGUAGGCGGCCUUAACGGGUGGUCGCCCACACUGGGAUUGAGAUACGGCCCAGACUCCUACGGGAGCAGCAGUCGAGAAUAGUCUACAAUGGUCGGAAGACUGAUAGUGCGACGCCGCGUGAACGAUGAAUCCCUUCGGGGUGUAAAGUUCUUUUAUAUGUGAGCAGUGCUUCUUAUAUUAACAGUAUGGGAGAGAGAUAUUAGCAUAUGAAAUAAGACAACGGCUAACUCCGUGCCAGCAGCCGACGGUAAAAAUACCG
rnacentral:rRNA from 1 species